UGAAGAGCAGUGGGAGCUGCAGGUUGUGCUCUGGGUGGGGGGCACGGUGGGAGCCACAGGCCAGGGGCUGUGCCCUGGUGCUGCCCCUUGGCACAGCUGCCCUCUGUGAAGGGACUUUGGUCCCAGCAGUGGAAGUCUGGAGUGGUGUGAGCGUGACUGAGAGUGGCUUCUGGAUGGUCAGACAGGAAGGUUCCUUAACAAGAGUUUUCUUCCAAGUGGCAUCACUGAAGGGGACAGCUGUUACUGCUGUGGGAGAUCAAGAGCUCCUUCCAGUUGCAUCUUCUGUGUCAUCUGCAAAACCCCCAGUUACAAUCCCCAGUGUGCUGGCUGCAGAGAGGCCACCUUGUCAACUGGGAUCCCAUCAAGUGCUCUGAGCUCCUGUCCCUCCAUCAGAACUGAAGAGGUGCAGCAUGGCUCACAACUGCCUGCAGUGUAUCAAGUACCUAAUGUUUGUUUUCAACCUUCUCUUCUGGGUGAGUACACUUUUGGAACCGUGAAACGGUUUUUGUGUCUGUUUACUGAGGUGGAAGAUGAACUUGUUGCUG
rnacentral:lncRNA from 1 species